rnacentral:rRNA from 1 species
GACGGUUGUCCCGGUUUAAGCGUGUAGGCUGGUUUUCCAGGCAAAUCCGGAAAAUCAAGGCUGAGGCGUGAUGACGAGGCACUACGGUGCUGAAGCAACAAAUGCCAUGCUUCCAGGAAAAGCCUCUAAGCAUCAGGUAACAUCAAAUCGUACCCCAAACCGACACAGGUGGUCAGGUAGAGAAUACCAAGGCGCUUGAGAGAACUCGGGUGAAGGAACUAGGCAAAAUGGUGCCGUAACUUCGGGAGAAGGCACGCUGAUAUGUAGGUGAAGCGACUUGCUCGUGGAGCUGAAAUCAGUCGAAGAUACCAGCUGGCUGCAACUGUUUAUUAAAAACACAGCACUGUGCAAACACGAAAGUGGACGUAUACGGUGUGACGCCUGCCCGGUGCCGGAAGGUUAAUUGAUGGGGUCAGCGCAAGCGAAGCUCUUGAUCGAAGCCCCGGUAAACGGCGGCCGUAACUAUAACGGUCCUAAGGUAGCGAAAUUCCUUGUCGGGUAAGUUCCGACCUGCACGAAUGGCGUAAUGAUGGCCAGGCUGUCUCCACCCGAGACUCAGUGAAAUUGAACUCGCUGUGAAGAUGCAGUGUACCCGCGGCAAGACGGAAAGACCCCGUGAACCUUUACUAUAGCUUGACACUGAACAUUGAGCCUUGAUGUGUAGGAUAGGUGGGAGGCUUUGAAGUGUGGACGCCAGUCUGCAUGGAGCCGACCUUGAAAUACCACCCUUUAAUGUUUGAUGUUCUAACGUUGACCCGUAAUCCGGGUUGCGGACAGUGUCUGGUGGGUAGUUUGACUGGGGCGGUCUCCUCCUAAAGAGUAACGGAGGAGCACGAAGGUUGGCUAAUCCUGGUCGGACAUCAGGAGGUUAGUGCAAUGGCAUAAGCCAGCUUGACUGCGAGCGUGACGGCGCGAGCAGGUGCGAAAGCAGGUCAUAGUGAUCCGGUGGUUCUGAAUGGAAGGGCCAUCGCUCAACGGAUAAAAGGUACUCCGGGGAUAACAGGCUGAUACCGCCCAAGAGUUCAUAUCGACGGCGGUGUUUGGCACCUCGAUGUCGGCUCAUCACAUCCUGGGGCUGAAGUAGGUCCCAAGGGUAUGGCUGUUCGCCAUUUAAAGUGGUACGCGAGCUGGGUUUAGAACGUCGUGAGACAGUUCGGUCCCUAUCUGCCGUGGGCGCUGGAGAACUGAGGGGGGCUGCUCCUAGUACGAGAGGACCGGAGUGGACGCAUCACUGGUGUUCGGGUUGUCAUGCCAAUGGCACUGCCCGGUAGCUAAAUGCGGAAGAGAUAAGUGCUGAAAGCAUCUAAGCACGAAACUUGCCCCGAGAUGAGUUCUCCCUGACUCCUUGAGAGUCCUGAAGGAACGUUGAAGACGACGACGUUGAU